UACGGAGGAUGCGAGCGUUAUCCGGAUUUAUUGGGUUUAAAGGGUGCGUAGGCGGGCUUUUAAGUCAGCGGUAAAAAUUCGGGGCUCAACCCCGUCCGGCCGUUGAAACUGGGGGUCUUGAGUGGGCGAGAAGAAGGCGGAAUGCGUGGUGUAGCGGUGAAAUGCAUAGAUAUCACGCAGAACCCCGAUUGCGAAGGCAGCCUUCCGGCGCUCUACUGACGCUGAGGCACGAAAGUGCGGGGAUCGAACAGG
rnacentral:rRNA from 1 species